UAUGCACCCUGCUAUGAACCUCUUAUAUUAGGGUGACAUAUUUGUUACAAUUAAUGAGCCAAUAUUGAUAUGUAAUUAUCAACUAAAAUCCAAGUUUAGAAUAAGGGUUGCUACAGGAUUUGCUAAUGCAUAAUGUCAUAUAGCACCAUGACAGUAUCAUACUGCAUUGUUUCAUUGCUCUAAACAUCCCCUAUUCUUCACCUGUUCUUCUCUCUCGCUUUCUGAACCCCUGGAAACCCCUGAACUCUUUACUCUCUCUAUAGUUUGCCUUUUCCAGAAUGUUAUAUAGUUGUAACAUUGAGUGUGUAGCUUUUGCAGACUGAAUCUUCUUCUCAGCAAUAUGCAUUUAAAGUUCCUUCAUAUUUUCAUAGUUUGAUAACUAAUUCAGUUUUUAUCACUGAGUAGAACGGAUACAAAGAAAGUUUGUAUCAGGAGCUCAGCUGACCUGGGAGAGAGAGGGGAGCUGUCAGGUGUCACAGCAGCCAGUUAAAACAACAGGACGAAAUCAAAGAGUUAAGCCUCUAACCACUUACUGUGACGGUACAAGGAAGAGGCUAAAACUGCAGCAAGUGCCCCUUCCCCCUUCCAUUUUCCCCGUGGAAUGUCGCCCCAUUCAGGGGUCAGGUGGGUCAGUGCAGAUCUGAGCUGUCUCUCUGCAGAGGAGUCCCUAACAAAAGGCCUGGCAGUUUUAUGGACCCUGGGGUCAGGGGAGGGCGAGAGAGAAGGACUGGGAGUGGGCAGGUGCUGGGUACUGACUCAGAGAGCGCGGACAGUGUCUGCAGGCUUCCCUCUCCUCCCCCAUGAGGCGGCCUUGCAGAGGAGCCUGAAGAGAACCACGGCCCAAGGCCUUGAUAAAGAGACCCGGGAGUGAAGGUGCCUGGGCCAGGAACGCAGAUGUGUGAAGAGCAGAACUGGCCAGAGGAGCCUGAGCGCUUGACUGCAGCUCCCUUCAGAGAAUGCAGGGCUCAGGCCAGGCACUCAGGCUGCGGUGUGGGGACAGAACCCCUCAGGGGACCCUACCGGAAAGGCUUUGUAUUUGCCCAUGGGGGAUACUGAGAAAUCACACAUGGGUUUUUAACCAGUAGCCAGACUCCUCAGUUUCUUUCUCAUUCAUCUUUUGAAGGGAUCUUGGUUAUUUCCAGUUUUUGAUGAUUUUGAUAAAGCUGCUGUGAACAUUCAUGGAAAUGUCCCUCUAUUCACUACUUUCACCGCAUCCCAUGAAUUUUGAAAAGUGAUAUUUUUAUUUCAUCUAGUUAAAACUAUUUUGAAAUUUCUAUUUAGACCUCUUCUUUAAUGUCUUCUGUGGAAGCACGUUGUUUAAUCCUCAACUAUUUGGGGACAUUUAACAAACCAUGUCCAUGUACCCAUCCUCUUGUCCAGUGAAGCAGAGCUCCCUAACUGAUUCAAGAGCAGCAUCACAAUGCCUGACAGCCACUCUGCAUCCUCCAGCCUCCCAGGAGGACCCUUUGGAGGAGCUUCCUGGUGGCAGGAGAGAUGGAGAGGCCUUAUCUAAUAUCAAUGUAAUAUCGUGUUCCAUUGCCUGAAAUAGACACUUUGCUUUCUUCGUUUCCCUCUUUAUUGAUUAAGUUCAGAUGUGAAGAGGUAACAGUGUGCAAUAUAGACAUUAACACUGUCUUCUGGGGGGGUGGAAGAGGAGGUCCUUCCCUCUGGCAUCUGAUUCAAGAGGGCGUCUACAAUGGCAGCACCAGCUUGGCAGCUGUACGUGGGCCCUUUCCUCAGAAGCUGGGUUUCCUCCUGAGAUCGAGAAUUCUGUAGUUACUAACCUAAAGGACUAGAGAGCUGUGUGGUCCAGGAGAAGCUCAUGCAUUUACCACAGUGCAUGCUAAGCUUGCUCUGAGGGCCUUGACUUGACUCCUGUUUCUAUGUGCUUUGCAAUAGUCACCAAGAGAACGACAGCAACAAAAUAUAUCAGCAAACGGCCCUCCCCCUGGUCUGCUCCUCACAGCGCUCUCAGAUGGAGAUACCUAAGUGCCUAUAUUAAUGGCCCAAACUCUCAAGUUUCUAAGUGGAAGAGCCAACAUGUGGACCAGGUGUGUGUCCCCAGUUCUAGUGCUCUGAACUGCUGAUCUGCGUGUGUCACUCAGACAUGGGAUCUUUACUCUCUGUGCCAGGGUCGAGAAUGUGGGAGGACAAGCCACACUCCCUGCACUUUACACGGAGCAGGAUGAUCAUGACCUCCAGGGAGCCCAGCGAGAUGGUGCAGGGGAUCCAUCAGGCGCUGGACAGAAACAGCUCUGGGUGGGAGCCGUGCAAGAAGUACAUGAGCCGAGUGUGCACAGCACACCCAUGUGAGAGGACUUCUUGUGGUGGAGGAUGGAGAUGAGCAAGCUGAGGGUGUGUUCAUUCACCAGGGUUCAAAUGAAGAGGCUGACUGCCAGCUCCACGGCCUUCAAAAGCAUUGGGUCCCACAUACCCAUUGAGCUUUAAGGACUGCCAGGAACAGCCUGGGAGACGAGAGGAGAAGCUGCUGCCCUAGCUGCUGGCUGACCCAGCCACCUCCACCUGGUGAAACUUCAGAGACUGGACCGCUUCUCCUGGCACUUCUUCCCUCCCCCACUCUUCUACAUCUUUCCUCCAUAUUUGUGGGGGGAGGGGAGGUGAUUACUGUAAAUUACUGAACUUGGUUCUUCCAAACCUUACAGUAAUAUUGAUGCUCCAGAAAUAUGUAUCACAGAUAUUCUGCUGUUUUGCAUCCUACUUGCACACUCCGGGAUUAUGAAGCUGUGCAUGCUCCAGUUUGAAAAGUGUGUAGUAAUGUAGUACUGGGAGUUAAUCAGUAAUUCUAAAUAGAAAAAUGACUUUGGAAAAUUAUCAGAGUCAACCCAAAUAGCAACAAAUAAUUAAAAGCAGUUCCAAAUGAAUAAAGCUCUGAUAUGUGCUGUGUAGCAGACAUGUAGAAAUUGCUUGACCUUCAUACACUGACUAACAUUACCUCACAUUUCAGGAAGACCAAUGGGACUUUUUUGUUGGCCUGUGUUAACUAGGACCAAUAGGUCCACAAUAGCAUAAGGAAAUUCCAUCAACAGGCUCUGUUGGUGUCAGAAAGGAGUGAGUGUGGUCACUCAAAGCAGGUUAGGGCCUCAUUUCACUUUGUGACUGAGUUUCCUGCCUGUAUAAUACAGGGGUCCACCUUCCACUGUGAUUCCCUCUCCUUUUGUAACCGGGGCACAGAGCAGUCACUCCAAGAGGCCUGAGCAAGUUCAGCCAGCCUAAGGCUCCCAGGGGUGCCCCUCUGUGAGCCAGGGUCCCUGCUGGUCCAGAGGAGGCUUCAUGGCAAGAGACACUAGCAGGGUGGGAUGGAGGGGCAUGCAGGAAAGGUGGCUUUUAAAAGGCAAAUGCCAGCUUCCAGGGUGACUGUGUCAAUAUUUUAGAUAGUGAAUUUAUGGUCUCAGAAACCAUCAGGGAGUUUCCACAGAGUUCCUCAGAAGUCUGAAGUUUGUCCAGGAAGUCUCUGGCCACCAUGUGUGGGGAAUGUGUGCACAGUCAUCUAACCUGAAACGACCCUGCCCACUGGUGACCAUAGCCAGGGAUGGGCCUAGAGUCUAAGCAGUCAGAGAAGAACAUCCUUUACUCUGUGGGAGCAGGGCCAGAGGAAGCAAGAAGAGGGCUGGAGUCUUGUUCCCACUUAAUUUCUCCAUUUUUGAUAUUCUUUAUGCUUAAUGCCCCAUUGGAUGAGCCAUCAACCAGUGUUGCUCUCCUCCUUAAAUAUCCACCCAUGGCUCUCAUCCUCUUCAGGGCAAAUCUCAGUUCCUGAGUUGACUUUUGGGACCCUCAGGGGCCUGUCCCCCUAAAGACUCUCUCAUCCCCCACCUUAUACUUUACACUGCACACAUUGAAUCGUUCGGUUUGCCCAGUUCCCACAUAUAUGAUCACAUCUCAGUGCCUUCGCAGGUGCGGCUUCCUCUGGGGGAAGCCCACAUGUCAAGAAAUUGGCCAAGGUCCCAUUGGACUCUGCAAGACAAAUUUCAUGGUAGAUCCUGGCCUGAAGAAUUUGCAGUGCCAGCAGGAAGACACACAGAGGUUUAACUAUCUAUAGUGCAGACUCACCUGUCCACAGGUACAAAGGAAGGGCAUACACAGCACAGCACAUGCUCCCUUGCUGCUGGAGGUACCAGGAGCGGCCUCUUGAAGGGGGGGACCUCUGUUAGGGCCCUGAGGGAUGGGUCUGUUCACAAGGAAAUGGCAUCACAGGAAAAGUAGGCAUCCAAGCAGAAGGAAGCAGGAGUGACAGGAGCAGACAGGACAGAGGUGGGAAUGAGGCUU
ensembl:lncRNA